rnacentral:rRNA from 1 species
AAACCAACAGGGAUUGCCCCAGUAACGGCGAGUGAAGCGGCAACAGCUCAAAUUUGAAAUCUGGCUCCUCUCGGGGCCCGAGUUGUAAUUUGUAGAGGAUGCUUUUGGUGCGGCGCCAGCUGAGUUCCCUGGAACGGGACGCCAUAGAGGGUGAGAGCCCCGUCACGCUGGACGCUAAGCCUAUGUAAAGCUCCUUCGACGAGUCGAGUAGUUUGGGAAUGCUGCUCAAAUUGGGAGGUAUAUGUCUUCUAAAGCUAAAUACCGGCCAGAGACCGAUAGCGCACAAGUAGAGUGAUCGAAAGAUGAAAAGCACUUUGAAAAGAGAGUUAAACAGUACGUGAAAUUGUUGAAAGGGAAGCGCUCAUGACCAGACUUGGGCUUGGCGAAUCACCCGGCGUUCUCGCCGGUGCACUUCGCCUCGCCCAGGCCAGCAUCAGUUCGUCGCGGGGGACAAAAGCGCCGGGAACGUGGCUCCUCCGGGAGUGUUAUAGCCCGGCGCACAAUACCCUGCGGUGGACUGAGGUUCGCGCAUCUGCAAGGAUGCUGGCGUAAUGGUCAUCAGCGAC